UACGUAGGGUGCAAGCGUUGUCCGGAAUUAUUGGGCGUAAAGAGCUCGUAGGCGGUUUGUCACGUCUGCUGUGAAAUUUCGAGGCUCAACCUCGAACUUGCAGUGGGUACGGGCAGGCUAGAGUGCGGUAGGGGAGAUGGGAAUUCCUGGUGUAGCGGUGGAAUGCGCAGAUAUCAGGAGGAACACCAAUGGCGAAGGCACAUCUCUGGGCCGUAACUGACGCUGAGGAGCGAAAGCGUGGGGAGCGAACAGG
rnacentral:rRNA from 1 species